UACGUAGGUGGCAAGCGUUGUCCGGAUUUACUGGGCGUAAAGGGCGUGCAGGCGGUCUGUUAAGUUCAGGGUGAAAGCUCCCGGCUCAACUGGGAGAGGUCCUUGGAUACUGGCAGACUUGAGGGAGGUAGAGGAGAGUGGAAUUCCGGGUGUAGUGGUGAUAUGCGUAGAUAUCGGGAGGAACACCAGUGGCGAAGGCGGCUCUCUGGGCCUUUCCUGACGCUGAGACGCGAAAGCGUGGGGAGCGAACCGG
rnacentral:rRNA from 1 species